UAAAUCAUAGUAAAGGAUAUUCAUUUCACUUAGUUUUCGUUGGACCUAAACAAUUCCAUAAACGGAGUAAAACUUGCUUUUGGCUUAUACAUUUCGUCGAACACCUGCUAUGCGCCCCCGUGACGAUGUUGAUCAAGUCGGUGUCAAAGACGGCACACUCUGCGCUCUUGUCCAAGAUCUCAAUGGACAUAGUAGUGUCCUUAUGGUGCACCCACAUACCCGACGCGGCGACGAUGGUUAUGCCGUCGCCAUGGUUGAUGCCCGAGGGGUACAGUAUGAGGCGCCAACGUGCAAUAUAACGGCAGAGACGGAGAAGGUGAGCGGCUGGAACGACGUGCAGUGGUCCUGACGCCGGUCGUGCGGAAGGUUGUGGUGCUCGCGUGCGGCUUGGUCACCUCCAUGUCGAUGGACACAGUGCACCGACGAGCUCCUCAUGGGCACGAGCAUCACCAACAGUAGCCCCGCACGGGCAUGAGGAGCAGCAGUGGUCGCGCCAUGGCUAUUGGCCGACAAGCCUUACACGGGCGCGAGCAACACCAGCAGUUGUCGCGCAUGGGCUAUGGCUGUCGGUCGACGAGCCCCGCACGGGCGUGAGCUGCAGCAGCCGCGCCAUGGCUUCUGGCUGGCAAUCUCCUCAUGGAUGCGAGCAGCACCAGUAGUAACCGCGCCAUGGCUGUUGGCCGGCGAGUUCCUCGCGGCGAGCGCACAGGUUGGCUAGCGUGGAGAGGCGUGGGCACACACGAUGGUUCAG
rnacentral:lncRNA from 1 species